rnacentral:rRNA from 1 species
UCAGAACGAACGCUGGCGGCAUGCCUAACACAUGCAAGUCGAACGAAGGCUUCGGCCUUAGUGGCGCACGGGUGCGUAACGCGUGGGAAUCUGCCCUUGGGUUCGGAAUAACAGUGAGAAAUUACUGCUAAUACCGGAUGAUGACUUCGGUCCAAAGAUUUAUCGCCCAAGGAUGAGCCCGCGUAAGAUUAGCUAGUUGGUGAGGUAAAGGCUCACCAAGGCGACGAUCUUUAGCUGGUCUGAGAGGAUGAUCAGCCACACUGGGACUGAGACACGGCCCAGACUCCUACGGGAGGCAGCAGUGGGGAAUAUUGGACAAUGGGCGAAAGCCUGAUCCAGCAAUGCCGCGUGAGUGAUGAAGGCCUUAGGGUUGUAAAGCUCUUUUACCAGGGAUGAUAAUGACAGUACCUGGAGAAUAAGCUCCGGCUAACUCCGUGCCAGCAGCCGCGGUA